AUUGAACGCUGGCGGCAGGCUUAACACAUGCAAGUCGAGCGAGCGGCGGACGGGUGAGUCAUGUCUGGGAACCUGCCUGAUGGAGGGGGAUAACUACUGGAAACGGUAGCUCAUACCGCAUACCAUCAGAUGUGCCCCGAUGGGAUUAGCUAGUAGGUGGGGUAAUGGCUCACUUAGGCGACGAUCCCUAGCUGGUCUGAGCGGAUGACCAGCCACACUGGAACGGAGACACGGUCCAGAGUCCUACGGGAGGCAGCAGUGGGGAAUAUUGCACAAUGGGCGCAAGCCUGAUGCAGCCAUGCCGCGUGUGUGAAGAAGGCCUUCGGGUUGUAAAGCACUUUCAGCGAGGAGGCGGGACUCGCAGAAGAAGCACCGGCUAACUCCGUGCCAGCAGCCGCGGUAAUAC
rnacentral:rRNA from 1 species